GUCACCUCUCUCUCACCUGGCUUCAUAUCGGUUUUCUCUGCUUUUGCCAUCAGUGGAGGAAAGCACAGCUUGGCAGCCAGCACUGAGAAAUGGACUUUCCCAGCUGUGAAGACCCUGGCUUGUAGUUGAAACUCUCCAAGCCCUCCAGUCUCUCCCUCCUGGGUCCUGAGGAUGCUGACCUUGACCUGUCCCCCGGCUCUCAAGCUCUGCCAGCGAUGGAGCUGACUAUGUCACUGAGAACUUCCACAGGGGAGGAGGAGAAAGAACAAGGGAUCUUUAUUUUUGGCUGAAGUUUUCCUGAAAACUAUAAAGCUAAUGGUCCCUGGAAACGGCUUGACUUCACUUCCAAGUUUUGAAUCAUCUGCUUCUGGUGGUCAGAAGGAGCCCCCGGAUGUUGGGAGGACUGACUCAGAAAACACAUAGCAAGUGCACGUGUGGGAUGCACAGGUCAGUAUACUUUCCCCCCUGUCUACCUCUCCUAUACCUUCGCCUCUGAAUUCUUGGUUGUCCUUGCAAAUCCCUGGAGGGAGGGCAUGUGCCUCAUUUAUGGUCACAAAUUAGUAGCUUGGCAUUUUCCUAAGGGAAAAUGCUCUCCUUUCCGCAAACUUCCAAAAAGAAACCAUGGACAGAAUCCUUGAAGCUCUGAGGGAGCAACAGAGGCUACUGGUCUCUGCUGACUCAGUACCUUUUGUUCUUGUUUAUCCAUGGGCACCAAUUACUGGCCUAAAACAUGGCCAGGAGGUGCCACCCACCCGUAUUUGAUUUAUUAGUUGUAUUAAAUACAGAUACCUUUACUGCGGAGUUGCUUGUAGCCUGAGCUGAAUUUUUAGCUACUUGAUCACAUCUAUUGGCCAAUGUAGGAAUUAUCUUCAAAGGACACGGCUUUUGCUUUUUAUCACACUUUUUCUCCUGCUACCAAGGAGGAGGUCACUUGGGAGACACAUCCUUUCAUGGCAAGAAAGUAACCUCGUAGAUCAAACGUCUGUUUGUUCUGGAAUGGCAAAGUGGCCAGGCCUGGAGGAAGGGCCAGCAUUACUCAGAAUCCUCAUCAGUCACUCACCAAGAUGGGACCCUUGGGUAAAGGUGUUCCAGGGAGAUGAGUCUAGGGAAUGGUGCUAGUGGAGAGAGGGAGUGCAGUGCAGGGGGUGCACUGGCCCUGGGGCCAAGGCUGGGUUCCAAGUCCUGUGUGUGCAACAUGCUAGUUUUUUACUUCAGAGGCAAAUUACGCAAUCUGUGAGUCUUACUUACUUUAUCUCUAAAAUGGGGUGGAUACUAGCUUCCUCCCAAUGCAUCUUUACAGGCAUUGAUGGGAUUAUCAACCAGUGGAGUUCUCUUCCCCUUCUGUUGCUAAUUACAGGCUCAGCUGAGAGACUUAACCUUGACAAUUGAUGUUGGUGGAGCAGAUCUUGCCGGGAGUCUUUGUUUUACAGCAGUUAGAUGUUUGUGUUGUGCCCAGUCCUUAAAAAGAUGAGAGAUUAAAAAAAAUCCUUUACUACAACUUGGGUUAAUAUUCAAUAUUUAAUUUUAUUCUUCCAUCUUGCUCUAUUACUUUUUUAAAAAAAUGUUAUUUAUUUGAGAGGUAGAGUUAUAGACAGAGAGAGGGAGAGACAGAGAAAGGUCCUCCACCUGCUGGUUCACUCCCCAGAUGGCCACAAGGGCCGAAGCCAGGAGCCAGGAGCUUCUUCCAGGUCUCCCACGGGGGUGUCAGGGACCCAGCUACCGAAGCCGUACCUGCUCCUGGGAAGUCCCAAGGUCUGUGCUAGAGGAAGGAGGAAUCAGGAACCAGAGCGGGGACUCAAACCCAAGCACCAACAUUGUCCUGUUUCCACUCACAGGGCAGGUGGUCAGAAAAACGUUUUUGAGAUAAAGUUAAAUGGACCUGUUUUUGUACCUCUGUGAUUAUUUUGUUUAGUUUCUAUCUGUCCAAGGAUCCUAAGUGUUUUGGCAGCUUUUGAUUUCCAGGCAAUAGCUUCGUAUUUUGGAAAAAAACAAAAACAAAAACAAAAACAAAAAAACCUUGAGUGAGAAAUCAAUGAGUGGGCUUGAGUUCUGACUCUGUGUGAACUUGGGAGGUAUUUAACCUCUCUUGGCCUCAGUUUCCUUACCCAUAAAAUGGGGAUGAUAAUAAUGGUAUGUAUGUUACAGGGUUGUGGUGCAGAUCAAAGCCUUAGAAUAGUGCCUGGUCACAGUGAGUGCUGCCCGUGUUUGUUGCUGUUACUACUGCUGCUGCUCUUUCUCACUAGUUGUAUGAUGGGCAGGGCUGGUUGGGCAAGGCUAAACUCUUUCAGCUGUGAUGUUGUGUGACUUGGGCCAGUCCAGAGGGAAUAAGUAGGAGCAAGGGAUGGGAGAGCAAGACAGGCAAGGCAGGCAGCACUUGUAUGCGAGUGGUCUGAGGCUGCCGGGCUCUGAGGCAGGCACAAGUGAGUUAAUGGCAGUGCCGUCACCAAGGGGUUAAAUCCCAGGUGACAGCGUUUGUCCAGGUGGUUGCUUUUCCUUUGUGCUGAAGCCUGGAGAUUGGGUCUUGAGAUACUUUCAGCAGAUCAGCUCUUCUGCCUUACAGAGAUCUAAACUUAUAAACACCAGAAAAAAGAUCUCAACCCCCUGAACCUGGCAAUAAACUUCCAGGAUGAGCCACAAAGUAGGAGCUCUUUUCCCAGGAAUGUGCCAGAGAGUGGCUAGAAAUAGUCAGCUUUUGUCAUGCCAGGCAGCCUUCUACCUAGAGGGGGAUGGGAGCUGACACCCAGAUGGGGCAGAGCUGUCAUUUCUGGCCGCUGGCACUUUCUGUCAUCAAAUACUUCGUACUUCAGUAAAUCUGGUGCCUCAGGACUGGGGGCGGGGCAGGUGGGGUUCACAAAGCCUCUUGCUUGGAGCAGCAGCUGUAUCUUGGGGAUAGAUGUGCCCUCCUAGGAAGAGCUGAACUUGACACCUACCUAUCUGGGAGCCUUGGAAUGCGGCCCCAGGAGAAACACCUACCAAAGCAGCAGCAUUUAUGACUUCUGUGGGGUGGGGUGGGAGGCUGAGGGUAGGAAUGGGGUAAUUUAUUGCUGCCAAAGGAAUGUUCUGAGCUAUCAAAAGUAGAAUUUAUUGUCUCUAUGAUGUGUGGUAUCCCUGAUUGGAAGAGCAGCUUGGUACAUAUAUUCCAGAAACCAGAAUUACUUAGAAUGUUAAAAGAAAUAUUUUUCUUUAAAAUAAAUGCACACUGUUGGGGGGAAACUCAUGCGUGAAGACAUAAAGAAAAACUGAAAUCUUUCCUUAUCUGAUCACCAAAGAUAACCAGCUAAUGUUUUGUUAUCAUUCUAUACAUUUCUAUAAUUUUGAAGCAUGGUUCCAAAUGCACAUGUAAACAUUUUAAUCCUAACUUUUCAGUGUAACAAUUAAGCAUAAGCACUUUCAUGCUGUUAGAAAUGUGUAUAAAAUGAUUGAGAUGACAUUAUAAUAUCCUUUUUAUUUCUGUACUUGAAUUGACUAAACCAUAAUAAUGUUGACAAGCUAAUACUUCAUGUCACUUCUUCCACGCCAGAUACUGUUCUAAGUGUUUUACAUACAUUAACUCAUUUAAUUCUCAAAAAAAAAAAAAAAAAACAAAAACAAAAAACACCACAUUGUAUGGCUUGUACUCUUAAUAUUCCCCACUUUUGUAGUUGCCAGAGAUUAUCCUGCCACUGAGUGUUGGGUCCAAGCUUUGGAGCAAAGGCAGUUAAUGCUGUGGGGGAUGCUUACUGCCCCUUCGGACAAGUCAUACCCUCUCUGCUGCUCGUCAGCCAUUCUACUACUGCAGACCCUCAGAUCCUGGCUCACUUUUUUCUUUCUUAAAUAAAAUAGCUAUGAAGGGGAUACUUGGGACAUGAUUCAGAAUGCUCCUUGGGGUUUGGGGGCAAGGCUGACGGAGCUGCUGAAUAUACCACAGGAAUCUGGAAGCAAACCCAACCCAGAAGUCACACCGUGGUGGCAGAUUUAGAACGCCCUGUUCUGAUUCUUUCAUUUUUCUCUCUACUGUUUCAUGAGAAGACACCCACGCAAAGAUAUUCAAAUGAAGAAAGACAGUGUAAUCUUUUGAAAGAUGAAUGUUAAGAAAGUCUUUGUGGACAGAAACAAUGGCUUAUUAAUUAGAGCAGAUUAUUUUCUUUCUGUUUCCAUAUUUAUGACCUGGCUUAGUCAGUACUGGGCAUUUUUUUUAAAGCAUUUUAAGUAUUGGAAGGGAAUUUGGCAUCCUCCUUUUUUUGCAUGGACUCAUGGGAGUAAGAGGACUUCUCUGACCUUGGAGACUGGAUGAAGGUCAGGGGCAGGCGUGGCUCAACUGCUUCCAGGCCUUGUCAGCACCAAGGCCAAGCCUUUCCUCUCCUCCUGCUCCUCCACAAGCAGGUGUGGACUUCCAGGUGUGUGUUGGGCUGUCUAAGCCCUGUGAGGUGUGAGGCUGGCAGGGAAGGUGGCUGGCUCUCAAGACCACUUCUCCCUCGUCUGAAUUCCAAGGACUACGUGGGACACAAAGUCGUGGCCUGAUUUUGAUCACAGAUCAAAGGCUCUCUAAUCCAGUUUUAUCAACAAGUAAAUUUAUAUUUGUGUUUCCCUUUGCUUAUGCCUCUACUGCCUGUUUCUCAAUUGGUGUAGAAUCCACAGGCAGAGGCAUAUGAUUAGAAGUCCUUUAAAACUCAACAUUGCUUUGUGUACACUAGAGACAGAGUUUAAAUUUGAGGUCACAGGUUUUUCCCUUGUUCCCUGAACCCCCAGAUGAUUAAGGGAAUGUGGUCUUGGCAUGCUUAGCUUCUCUGCAACUCUUCAAUCUCCAGGAGGAAUUCCACCUUGGGAGAGAUUAUUGCUGAAUCUUUCUGGGACUCAAUUCUAGGACUCUGUGAUGCAGACUUGCGGUAAUGAGUGGUGAGACAGGGAAAGGAGAAGCAAAGACGGCAGAGUUGCAUAUAGAACUGACAUUCACUCAUGGGAGCAAUGAAAGAAUAGAGCUGGGGGCAGGUGUUUGGUGCAGUAGUUAAGAUGCCCACCUCACUUCCUAUAUCGGAGUUCCUGUGUUCAAGUCCUGGCUCCACUCCAAAUUCCAACUUCCUCCUAACGCACUUUCUGGAAGGCAGAUGAUGACUCAGGUCAUUGGUUCCUUGGCACCCAUGGGGAGAUCCAGAUUGAGUUCCUGGCUACUUGCUUUGGAUGGGCCCAGCCCUGGCUGUUAUGGGCAUUUGGAGAGUGAACUGGUAGAUAGGAGCAUUCUCUGUUUGUCCCUGUCUC